GAUAAUGGAAUAUUUUAUUUCAUUUAAUCUGAUCAAUAAUCUGAUCUGUUUUUGGUGUCAAUAAUCAGUUAUACAAACAGUCUAAUAUCUAAUAUAAACUGUUGCUCAGCAUGGGGUUACAGGGUCCUGAGUGGUUUAAAAACAACAGAGAACUAAGAAUCAUGGGUAAAAAAAGGUUUCCAAAGACCUACAACAAUAACUACAGGUUUUAUACUGCUAGGUUACAGCUACUAUAACUACAGGUUUUAUACUGCUAGGUUACAGCUACUAUAACUACAGGUUUUAUACUGCUAGGUUACAGCUACUAUAACUACAGGUUUUAUACUGCUAGGUUACAGCUACUAUAACUACAGGUUUUAUACUGCUAGGUUACAGCUACUAUAACUACAGGUUUUAUACUGCUAGGUUACAGCUACUAUAACUACAGGUUUUAUACUGCUAGGUUACAGCUACUAUAACUACAGGUUUUAUACUGCUAGGUUACAGCUACUAUAACUACAGGUUUUAUACUGCUAGGUUACAGCUACUAUAACUACAGGUUUUAUACUGCUAGGUUACAGCUACUAUAACUACAGGUUUUAUACUACUAGGUUACAGCUACUAUAACUACAGGUUUUAUACUGCUAGGUUACAGCUACUAUAACUACAGGUUUUAUACUGCUAGGUUACAGCUACUAUAACUACAGGUUUUAUACUGCUAGGUUACAGCUACUAUA